AUUUUGACUCUGUAUAGACCUUAAUAUUCUUUAAAUGUGAUAACAUGUCCAAAUUGGAUGUCUGACCUUUUCUUUCCUUUCUGAAAGGGAGUUUGUUGAGUGCUCCCUGUGUAGCUGUAACAUCGACUUCAUCUGCCAGGACAGAUACAAACCAGUUAUUUGGUCCAACCGGUCUCAUUUAGAUCUCUGGUUCGAACCUGCUAGAUGUCAGUGUGUAGCUGUUCAGCUCUAAGGCUAUCCCUAACUACUGAGAGGUUGCCUGUGGUUUUGUAGCCCUUAAAAAUGUUAUAACUGCUUAAUCUGAGUAGAAAAUAUUUUGGCAGGACUUUGAGCUCUUGAUUUUGCUGUUCUGGGCUGAGUGCCAAUGGGAUAACAUGAGUUUGGUUUGAGUGCUCUCAGUAGCAUUGGAGGCGCAAGUGAGAGCGUAGAUUCCGUGCCUGUCUCCUGAAGUUUAUCAGCUGGAUGUGUGGAAUGUCAGCCCUGUGCCCCCAGCUGCAGAAGAGUUGCAAGCCUGAUCUUGUGAGUGGAAGAGUCAAAACCUUUGUUUAAUCUAUUGAGUUCUUAAGACACCAUGAGGAAACCAUUC